UAAAUAACUUUGGAGGUUAUGUAGGCUUUGGAAACCAACUUUUUGCUAUAUAUUUUUGUUGCACCAGUUAAGAAGAUUGAGUUUAAUUGAAGAACAAUUGAAUUGUGAUGGGAGGAUAAAUGACAUAUGGUUGAGUAUUUUAUAUAGGUCGUGAAAAAUGAAAAUAUUAUUAUGCUACAAUUUAUAAAAUCUUUGAACUUAAAUUAAAAAUAUAUAGCUAUUUGCAAAGUGGUUUUAUUUUUUGAAAUCUUGAACUU
rnacentral:lncRNA from 1 species